UACCUUAAGUAAGAAUGGGUGCAGUUAGGACGGGGGUGGUCAUCAGCAUUGAGAAAACAGAGUUGGUAUAACUGUGCUGUCACAUCCAUCUGCCUCAUACUUUGUUCUGAGGGUAAGUUCAAUUGUGUCAGUACAUGGUGACACAGAAGUCUAGUUAGGGUAAAAAAAUCUACCCAGAACUCAGAAUGCUUAGGAGCCACUAGGUGUCACUGUUUGUAAAUAGUGGAUGUCAACUGUGCCCUAAGGGAAACUUGGAAAAUGAGUUUUAGCUGGAAUUUCAGAGUUCUUGUGACUGGUUGAGCUGAGGAUGAUUUAAAGUUAUCCCUGUCUGAAGUGACUUCUUUAGUGAGGAGUUCUGACUUGCUGAGGCUCAGCUUUUUAAUACAUAUCUCGAGAAUAAGAACUUUAAGGUUGUUUCUGUUACAGUAAAGCAUGUUAUCUUUCUCUUUUAGAUGAAAGGUGUUCUAAUGUGAAAAUCCAUUAUAUGAUGUUAAGUGUAAGAAUCUUCACAAUGAAAUUUUUGUAAAUGGUAUGGUCUCAGAGGUGAAAAAGGACCUCUAGCAGCCACACUGUGGCAGGUGCCCUGAACCUGGACUGAAGUAGACGGUCUCAGGCAUGUUAACUGUAAUGGGAUGCCAGAUCAGCACAGCCCUGCCUCUGCUGCCAGUUGCUAAUGCCUGUAAAAUAAUCUCCCCCAAAGAAUCAUUUGAGAAUUCUUUGGACUUCAUCUUGAAAGGAAUUCAAGUGGCUGGGAUUAUCCCAGAAAACCUUUGGCAGUUAGUGAAAUUAGGGUACAACUUAGUGCAUUCAGACCUCCAGUUUGGGUGACCUGGGUAUAAUCUCAUAAAUUAACAGUUCUGAUAAGGAUUGUAAUUUGAAAUUAAUUAACAUGUAUAUACUGUUAUGGGAGACUAAUGGGAAAUGUUUUUUCUAUGGGAGCAGUGUGUCUUGGGUUUAAAUUUUGAAGCACAAAUAAAGCUUUCUUAUUGACUCACUAA